AAGCCAAGGAUGACUUGCCUG
rnacentral:miRNA from 1 species